rnacentral:rRNA from 1 species
CAGUUUUGGCGGAGCCAUCCUUGGGAUACCACCCUUGUAGUACUGGGACUCUAACCAUAGGCCAUGAAUCUGGUCUGGGGACACUGUCAGGUGGGCAGUUUGACUGGGGCGGUCGCCUCCCAAAAGGUAACGGAGGCGCUCAAAGGUUCUCUCAGUACGGUCGGAAAGCGUACGUAGAGUGUAAAGGCAAAAGAGGGCUUGAUUGCAAGACAUACAGGUCGAGCAAGGAUGAAAAUCGGACUUAGUGAUCCGGUGGUUCUGCGUGGAAGGGCCAUCGCUCAACGGAUAAAAGCUACCCUGGGGAUAACAGGCUUAUCUCCCCCAAGAGUC